GAUGAACGCUGGCGGCGUGCCUAAUACAUGCAAGUCGAGCGAACAGACGAGGAGCUUGCUCCUCUGACGUUAGCGGCGGACGGGUGAGUAACACGUGGAUAACCUACCUAUAAGACUGGGAUAACUUCGGGAAACCGGAGCUAAUACCGGAUAAUAUAUUGAACCGCAUGGUUCAAUAGUGAAAGACGGUUUUGCUGUCACUUAUAGAUGGAUCCGCGCCGCAUUAGCUAGUUGGUAAGGUAACGGCUUACCAAGGCAACGAUGCGUAAGCCGACCUGAGAGGGUGAUCGGCCACACUGGAACUGAGACACGGU
rnacentral:rRNA from 1 species